CAGAGUGUAAAAACUCCUAAACCCUUUGUGAAUCUACCUAUUCUUGUUCCUUCGUAGGCGGUCCCUGGGAGGGACCUAUAGCCCACGUGGUGCCUGCCGAAGAACGCCCCAAACUCUGUUACUGUGGUGUUAUUCUGAGUGAAUACAAAAUAAGAUA
rnacentral:misc_RNA from 1 species